rnacentral:rRNA from 1 species
CCAAAAAUCUAGCCACACUUAAUCUCAUGAACUUAUAUACUUCUACCUUAAAACUAAAAUAUUCUAAUGUUUCAGUAAAGACGAUUAAAAAAUCAACUCGAGCAAUAAAUUUGUACCGCAAGGGAAAGAUGAAAUUAAAAUGAAAUUAAUUUUAAGCACAAAAAAGUAGAGACCCACCCUCGUACCUUUUGCAUCAUGGUUUAACUAGCCCAAUUAAGCAAAAAGAUUUAAAGUUUAACAUCCCGAAACUAAGUGAGCUACUUCAAGGCAGCUAUAAGAGCGAACCUGUCUACGUUGUAAAGUAGUAGGAAGACCUUGAAGUAGAGGUGACAGACCUAACGAACUUAGUGAUAGCUGGUUUUUCAGGAAAAGAAUUUUAGUCCAACCUAAAGUUACCUUAAUAUAACUAAAUAAGAACUCAACUUUAGAGCAACUCAAAUAAGGUACAGCCUAUUUGAGACAGGAAACAACCUUUACCAACGGGUAAACAUUUCACCGUAAUAUUACUAAGUAGGCCCAAAAGCAGCCACCUUUAAAAAAGCGUCAAAGCUUAUGUGUACAACUCAACAAUAACCACACUCACAAUGACCCCUUCAACCGUACUGAAAAUUCCUAUACUUCUAUAGGACCUUUUAUGUUAAAACUAGUAACAAGAAGUAAUACUUCUCUUUUAUGUAAACGUAAGUCAAUAAGGACCCCCCACUGACAAUUAACAGAACAUCUAAUAUAGUAAACCCCCACUGGAAAACCCUAUUAUAAUACGCUGUUAACCUAACACAAGAACAUCUCAAGACGAUUAAAAGAAAAAGAAGGAACUCGGCAAAUACCUAACCCCGCCUGUUUACCAAAAACAUCGCCUCUUGUAAUCAUAAGAGGUCCAGCCUGCCCAGUGACUCCAGUUUAACGGCCGCGGUAUCCUAACCGUGCGAAGGUAGCGUAAUCACUUGUCUUCUAAAUAAAGACUUGUAUGAAAGGCAUCACGAGGGUCAAACUGUCUCCUUUUUCUAAUCAGUGAAACUAAUCUCCCCGUGAAAAAGCGGGGAUAAUAUUAUAAGACGAGAAGACCCUAUGGAGCUUCAAACUUAGCAGCACUUGCCCUUAACUAAAUUAACCCCACUACACCUUGCUGUAAGUUUUAGGUUGGGGUGACCGAGGAGAAAAACUAAUCCUCCCCAAUGAAUAGAACCUCAUUUUAAGUAAAAAGCCACACCUUAAUACAUCAAUACCCUUGACAUCUAUUGACCCAAUAUUUUGACCAACGAACCAAGUUACCCUAGGGAUAACAGCGCCAUCCAUUUUGAGAGCUCCUAUCGACAAAUGGGCUUACGACCUCGAUGUUGGAUCAGGGUACCCAAGUGGUGUAGCCGCUACUAAUGGUUCGUUUGUUCAACGAUUUAAACCCUACGUGAUCUGAGUUCAGACCGGAGUAAUCCAGGUCAGUUUCUAUCUAUAAAGAGUUUUUUCUAGUACGAAAGGACCGAAAAAACAUGGCCAAUACACCAUGCAAGCCAUAUUUAAUCACUUCUGAUAAGAACUUAACUAAUUCUUAAUCUCCAACUCCCCCUCUAUAC